UACGUAGGGUGCAAGCGUUAUCCGGAAUUAUUGGGCGUAAAGAGCUCGUAGGCGGUUUGUCGCGUCUGCUGUGAAAACCGGAGGCUCAACCUCCGGCCUGCAGUGGGUACGGGCAAACUAGAGUGCGGUAGGGGAGAUUGGAAUUCCUGGUGUAGCGGUGGAAUGCGCAGAUAUCAGGAGGAACACCGAUGGCGAAGGCAGAUCUCUGGGCCGUAACUGACGCUGAGGAGCGAAGACAUGGGGAGCGAACAGG
rnacentral:rRNA from 1 species